AACGAACGCUGGCGGCAUGCCUAACACAUGCAAGUCGAACGAGACCUUCGGGUCUAGUGGCGCACGGGUGCGUAACGCGUGGGAACCUGCCCUUAGGUUCGGAAUAACUCCCCGAAAGGGGUGCUAAUACCGGAUAAUGUCUUCGGACCAAAGAUUUAUCGCCUUUGGAUGGGCCCGCGUUGGAUUACCUAGUUGGUAGGGUAAAAGCCUACCAAGGCGACGUUCCAUGGCUGGUCUGAGCGGAUGAUCAGCCACGCUGGGACCGCGACACGGCCCCGUCUCCUACGGGGGGGAGGGGUAGGGAAUAUUGGGGGAGGGGGCAAAACCCGGCGCAGCAAUGCCGGGUGAGAGGGGAAGGGCUUUGGGUUGUAAAGUCCUUUUGGCCGGGGUGAUAAUGACGGUACCUGGAGAAGAAGCACCGGCUAACUCCGUG
rnacentral:rRNA from 1 species